CAGUCGCCGCGGGAAUACGAAGGGUGCAAGCGUUAAUCGGAAUUACUGGGCGUAAAGCGUGCGUAGGCGGUUUGUUAAGUCUGUUGUGAAAUCCCCGGGCUCAACCUGGGAAUGGCAAUGGAUACUGGCAAGCUAGAGUGUGUCAGAGGAUGGUGGAAUUCCCGGUGUAGCGGUGAAAUGCGCAGAGAUCGGGAGGAACAUCAGUGGCGAAGGCGGCCAUCUGGGACAACACUGACGCUGAGGCACGAAAGCGUGGGGAGCAAACAGGAUUAGAUACCCGCGUAGUCCCUGUCUCUUAUAC
rnacentral:rRNA from 1 species